AUACGUAGGGGGCGAGCGUUGUCCGGAAUGAUUGGGCGUAAAGGGCGCGUAGGCGGCGCGGUAAGUCUGGAGUGAAAGUCCUGCUUUCAAGGUGGGAAUUGCUUUGGAUACUGCCGCGCUUGAGUGCAGGAGAGGUUAUCGGAAUUCCCGGUGUAGCGGUGAAAUGCGUAGAGAUCGGGAGGAACACCAGUGGCGAAGGCGGGUAACUGGACUGCAACUGACGCUGAGGCGCGAAAGUGUGGGGAGCAAACAGGAUUAGAUACCCUGGUAGUCCACACUGUAAACGAUGAAUGCUAGGUGUAAGAGGUAUCGACCCCUUUUGUGCCGGAGUCAACACAAUAAGCAUUCCGCCUGGGGAGUACGGCCGCAAGGCUGAAACUCAAAGGAAUUGACGGGG
rnacentral:rRNA from 1 species